CUCCAGAAGAAGUCAUAGGCCAGUCUCUUCUGCUACAUUCUGCAAACAGGCCUGUCAAAGAGAUAAUGGGUCAGGUAAAAGAGGUGGAGUCGGUGGGAAAUAAUAUUCCUCAAAGACAACCUUUCUCAGAACUGGAGAAGAAACUUCUUUCAUGUUUGUAGGCAGUUUACCUUGGCUCGUGGUGAUUGCAAACCUCAGAAUAACUAAGGUUUGCUCACCUGCAAAAGCAACAUGAGAUCUGCCCACCCACCCACCCUGACACACGGCACCACGGCUGCCGCAGGACACACGCACCAGGCCCUGGCUGCGUGCAGGUGUACCAGACCUGCCCCCUGACACCCAGAGCACUGUUGCCAAAUUUGGAGGUGCAAGUAGACAAACCUACCUAAGAAACCAACCAAUUCCUCUUCCCGUAUGGAGAUGUUUUACCCCAGGAUACCAGCUAAACACAGAAAGAACCAAACCACGGGAUGGACAUGGGCAAUGGCUCCAAAGAACGGUACAACCCAAGAAAGGAUCAAUAAAGGGAAGAAACAGAGAGAGGGUUGAAGCAGCAACGACAGCGAAAAGGACAUGUAAACAGCACACAAGGGGAAAACACCGGUCACCAGCAGUCUGUGCUGAUGGUGAGGAUACAAGCAGAUGACAACUUGUUGCCUUACCCAGCUCCUCCCCUAAACCGUGCAGCAGGAAUCACAGGCCAACAGCAGCCACCAGAAAGAUGGCAGGAAAAUAAACACAGCAAGUUUCUUCCAGGAUCACUAUAUGAAGGGUGGGGCACGUUAUUUACAGGGCGAGUCAUGUGAAACUACCCACUUGCAAAUUCAUUACAAAAUCAAAACAGCACAGCCACAGAUCUAUCUUAUCAUCAUGUUUUAAGCUGGCAAGUUACCUUCUCAUUAAAAAACAAAACAAAAAACCCCAACUACAACCCAGAGGGGGGAAAAAAAAAAAAAAGUCAUAUUCAUGUGGAAAUCCCAAACAGAGAAAAUACAAAGUUAAAAAUGGAGAGCCAUUGUCACUACUAAAUAAACUCUGCAGACUUCUGGGAGUAUGGUAGACUUAAGGAAGCCACUUCUACAAGCAUACUGAUCAGUGAAGAGAACUGGUGAAAUAAGCAAAUAAUUAACCAGGUACAUCAACUGAAACAAGUACAAGCAAUAAAUUUUAAUGUAUUCAUACACAAAUUAAAUAGUUGUGCUUCAAUAUGACAAUGACUCCAAGAUAAAACUUACAAUUCACACCUCAGUCUUUUUCAUUUAAGUUCUCUGCAGACUUGUCAAUGAUUCCCUCCAUUCAUGGGUCUCUUUCCAUCCACAAGUAACAAAAACUUAAGUAAUUACACUAAAACUGAGUCUGUGAAACAGUCUAAUUGCUUUGCUGAUUGUGUGCAUGAAGUCAAAGGUUAACUUUAUUUUGGUACACUGGAAGAGCAUAAAGCCAACUAUGCUCUGAGACAGGCAUGCUCUGGACAUCCUGUUGUGAAAAUGCCUUAAAAAAAUAAUUCUACACAGGGAUGGAUUUUAUAAAAUGGGCCUAACAAGCAAAUACAAGUAAAAGCACUGGAAUAAAUGUCCAUAACAGCUUACAAACCGGGGGGGGGGGGGGGCAGGGAGUGGGAAAUCUGUUCCUAUUCAUUGACUAAUGCUUCAAAAACUGAGUCUUUACGGCAGAUAGGGCUACCAGUAGUCUGAAUUUUUAAGGGAAAAGGGGAGAGAAAAAACACAGCUAAGUCCACAUCCACAUAAACAAGCUGCUCCAUUUUAUCAAUCCAGUUUUGAAAUUACUUUUGUAAUCAGUACAAACUCAGCUGUGAAUAUUUGUCAGAAAGACUUAUUUUAAAUAAUCUUGAACUGAUUACUAAUGGAAUAUACAUAAAGAAUGUAUAUUACAUCUAACAGUGAUUUGUCUAAAUUGGUUUACUAUUCUAUCAAUAAUUGAUGCAAAUUUCUCAUAUUAACCCUGAAUGCUUUGUUGAUUAGUCAAUUACUAUUUGACAGGUCUAUGACCACCAAGAAGCUCUGUUCCCUUCUAGCUGCAUGUGUUGAAGUUAAAUAUUUCAGAUACUGAAGUGUUACUAUUGUUUGCACUUUGUUUAAAGUUGAAUACAUACCAACUUUAGGGAAAAUGUAAUCCCAGGAUUAAACUGUUUUUCCAAUAACUACAGAAACAAAUAUAGGUUCCCUACUUAAUAGGCACAGGUGCCCGUGAGUUAAAUUAUUUCCCCAAACAGGCAUAAAAACCCUGUAGAAAACUGCAAAUAUUAUUUUAAUCUCUCAUUGCAGAGAAGAGUCUAAUCUAAGCCUUUUUGUUAUUGUUAUUAGAAACAUGUGUACAUAUGACACAUGCUGGGUUUUGCAGAUGACUCAUUGUGUCACAAGCUUUCAUUUUGCUUCUAGCUGAAGACCUGAGGGAUGUACCAUGGUUACUUUUGUAACCAAGUUUUUUGUUCUGAAGCAUUCUUUUGUUGUUUAUUUCCCCCCCCCAAAUGUAGUAAUUCUGAAGAGCAGCCAAUGUUCUACACAAGUUCCUCAAAAACAAACAAAAAACCCCCAAACUAUUCCUGUGACAAGUAGUCUUCCUGACCCCUCUGACUACCUCCCAUUCCCUUGGUAUAGACUUUCAAAAGUCAUUCAGUCAGAUGGCAAAUUUUACACUACUAACAGCUUUGAAGGCAAGUGUUCAAGAUACCAAAGAAAAGAAGCUCUGACUCAGCCAGGAUGUUCAAUGAUCAAAGAAGGAAGAGCACCUAUCACAACACAGCUUUGUCAGUUCAAACCCCAGUGAAAGUUCUCAAGAUGAUGUUUCCAUGCAACAGCCCCAAUCCACUAGCGUGUCAGAAGUACCAGUGGUGGCCAUUUAUCCCCAGAAAUAUAGAUCUGGUGAUAUGGUAAAAAAGGUACGUCACCACUCACCAACCCCUAAUUCCCACCACAUGACUGCAAAACAGAAACCUAAUCAUGAUGCACUACACUAAUUGCUUCCUGGAAUGGAGUUCCUCUAUGACACAUUCUCCUGUGUGAUUUUAAACAAACAAAUAAAUAAGGUUCAUA